AACGAACGCUGGCGGCAUGCCUAACACAUGCAAGUCGAACGAGGCCUCUGUGUCAAGUGGCGUCCGGGUGCGUAACGCGUGGGAAAGCGGCUUUAGGGUGGGUAACACUUGGGGAACCUUGCGUUGAUAUUGGGAGAUGUCCUCGGACCAAAGAUUUAUCGCCUUUAGAUGGGUCCGCGUUGGAUUAGCUAGUUGGUGGGGUAAAGGCCUACCAAGGCGACGAUCGAUAGCUGGUCUGAGAGGUUGAACAGCCACACUGGAACUGAGACACGGCCCACACUCCUACGGGAGGCAGCAGUGGGGAAUAUUGGACAAUGGACGGAAGUCUGAUCCAGCGAUGCCGCGUGAAUGAAGAAGGCCUUAGAGUUGUAAAGCUCUUUUACCCGAGAUGAUAAUGACAGUAUCAGAAGAAUAAGCUCCGGCUAACUCCGUG
rnacentral:rRNA from 1 species